rnacentral:rRNA from 1 species
GAUGAACGCUAGCGACAGGCCUAACACAUGCAAGUCGAGGGGCAGCACGGUGUAGCAAUACACGGGUGGCGACCGGCGCACGGGUGAGUAACGCGUAUGCAACCUGCCUACUACAAGGGGAUAACCCGUUGAAAGACGGACUAAUACCCUAUAACACAGGGAAUCCGCAUGGAUAUAUUUGUUAAAGAUUUAUCGGUAGUAGAUGGGCAUGCGUUCCAUUAGCUUGUUGGUGAGGUAACGGCUCACCAAGGCAACGAUGGAUAGGGGAACUGAGAGGUUGAUCCCCCACACUGGAACUGAGACACGGUCCAGACUCCUACGGGAGGCAGCAGUGAGGAAUAUUGGUCAAUGGACGAGAGUCUGAACCAGCCAAGUCGCGUGAAGGAAGACGGCCCUACGGGUUGUAAACUUCUUUUGUAAGGGAAUAAAUAGUCUUACGCGCUAAGACGUUGCAGGUACCUUACGAAUAAGGAUCGGCUAACCUCCGUG